GAUGAACGCUGGCGGUCUGCUUAACACAUGCAAGUCGAACGGAAUCUUUCGGGAUUUAGUGGCGGACGGGUGAGUAACGCGUGAGAAUCUGCCUUCAGGUUCGGGACAACAGCUGGAAACGGCUGCUAAUACCGGAUGUGCCGAGAGGUGAAAGCUUAAGUGCCUGGAGAUGAGCUCGCGUCUGAUUAGCUAGUAGGAGUGGUAACGGCACCCCUAGGCGACGAUCAGUAGCUGGUCUGAGAGGAUGAUCAGCCACACUGGGACUGAGACACGGCCCAGACUCCUACGGGAGGCAGCAGUGGGGAAUUUUCCGCAAUGGGCGCAAGCCUGACGGAGCAAGACCGCGUGAGGGAAGAAGGUCUGUGGAUUGUAAACCUCUUUUGAUAGGGAAGAAGACAGUGACGGUACCUAUCGAAUCAGCCUCGGCUAACUCCGUGCCAGCAGCCGCGGUAAUACGGAGGAGGCAAGCGUUAUCCGGAAUUAUUGGGCGUAAAGAGUCCGUAGGUGGGUAACCAAGUCAGCUGUUAAAUAGUGAAGCUUAACUUCAUAGAGGCGGCUGAAACUGGUUGUCUAGAGUGUGGUAGGGGUAGAGGGAAUUUCCAGUGUAGCGGUGAAAUGCGUAGAUAUUGGAAAGAACACCGGUGGCGAAAGCGCUCUACUGGGCCUGCACUGACACUGAGGGACGAAAGCUAGGGGAGCGAAAGGGAUUAGAUACCCCUGUAGUCC
rnacentral:rRNA from 1 species